GUGAUUAACGCGAAGAACCUUACCUACCCUUGACAUGUUCAGAAGUCUUGAGAGAUUGAGAUGUGCCCGAAAGGGAACUGGAACACAGGUGCUGCAUGGCUGUCGUCAGCUCGUGUCGUGAGAUGUUGGGUUAAGUCCCGCAACGAGCGCAACCCUUGUCAUUAGUUGCCAUCAUUUAGUUGGGCACUCUAAUGAGACUGCCGGUGACAAACCGGAGGAAGGUGGGGAUGACGUCAAGUCCUCAUGGCCCUUAUGGGUAGGGCUUCACACGUCAUACAAUGGUCGGUACAGAGGGUUGCCAAGCCGCGAGGUGGAGCCAAUCCCAGAAAGCCGAUCGUAGUCCGGAUCGUAGGCUGCAACUCGACUACGUGAAGUCGGAAUCGCUAGUAAUCGUGGAUCAGCAUGCCACGGUGAAUACGUUCCCGGGUCUUGUACACACCGCCCGU
rnacentral:rRNA from 1 species